rnacentral:rRNA from 1 species
UACGGAGGAUGCAAGCGUUAUCCGGAAUGAUUGGGCGUAAAGCGUCCGCAGGUGGCAAUGUAAGUCUGCUGUUAAAGAGUCUAGCUCAACUAGAUAAAAGCAGUGGAAACUACAUAGCUAGAGUACGUUCGGGGCAGAGGGAAUUCCUGGUGUAGCGGUGAAAUGCGUAGAGAUCAGGAAGAACACCAGUGGCGAAGGCGGGUCUCUGGGCCGAUACUGACACUGAUAGACGAAAGCUAGGGGAGCAAACGGG